rnacentral:rRNA from 1 species
AGAGUUUGAUCCUGGCUCAGAACGAACGCUGGCGGCGUGCUUAACACAUGCAAGUCGCGUGCGCAGUUGCCGUAGCAAUACGGUGAUGGGCGCACGGCGCACGGGUGCGUAACACGUGGGCAAUCUGCCCUUUGAUGGGGAAUAACCCGCCGAAAGGCGGGCUAAUUCCGCAUAAGAUUCUUUGGACCUCGGUCUGAAGAUUGAAAGCAGCAAUGCGUCGAAGGAGGAGCCCGCGCCCGAUUAGCUAGUUGGUGAGGUAAUGGCUCACCAAGGCAAUGAUCGGUAGCUGGUCUGAGAGGAUGAUCAGCCACACUGGAACUGAGACACGGUCCAGACUCCUACGGGAGGCAGCAGUGGGGAAUCUUGCACAAUGGGCGAAAGCCUGAUGCAGCGACGCCGCGUGGGGGAUGAAGCAUUUCGGUGUGUAAACCCCUUUCGACUGGGAAGAAUGCCUCGCAAGAGGAGUGACGGUACCAGUAGAAGAAGCCCCGGCUAACUACGUGCCAGCAGCCGCGGUAAGACGUAGGGGGCCAGCGUUGUUCGGAAUUACUGGGUGUAAAGGGUUCGUAGGCGGUGCGGCAAGUUGGGAGUGAAAUCUCUGGGCUUAACCCAGAGGCUGCUUCCAAAACUGCUGUGCUCGAGUGUGAGAGAGGCUCGUGGAAUUGCAGGUGUAGCGGUGAAAUGCGUAGAUAUCUGCAGGAACACCCGUGGCGAAAGCGGCGAGCUGGAUCACUACUGACGCUGAGGAACGAAAGCUAGGGGAGCAAACAGGAUUAGAUACCCUAGUAGUCC